UAAAAGGGUGCCUGCCGUACUGAGUGGCACUGGGGGCUUUGCCUCCUGGGGUAUGGCCAUCAAGACAUACCCGGCACAUAAUUUUUAAACACAGAAGGAAGUUCGUAUGCCUUGCGCCCGGACUCCUUC